UGCACAAAUAGCUGAGAAUGUAAUAUAAUUACAGUUCAUAUUCCAUUGUUUAUUGUUUCUCCCCCAAAAUCAUUGUUGUAUUUUCAUAUUUGUGGCAUAGGAAAAAAAAAGGAAGAAAACAUAACCCAUCUAGAAUAAGAGUGUAACUGUGGUUCCCAUUAAGAGUCAUGUGGAAGUAAUUCCUAUAGCAUCAGAGGUGACAACAAGAAGGGAGCAGUUUGAUAACAGUAGUUUGGGCAGUUUUUAUUCAAAUUCAUGCCUCUAGGAAAUCUGGAGACCUAAAUGCUAAAGAAGCAAACAAUAAGUUACAAACUGUUCUUUUAAAAAAUAUUAAUCAUUUAUCCAAUAGGCUAGAAUGCUGAGGAGGAAGGAAAGAAGGAAAUAUGGAGUAACUGACAACCCUUUCCCCAUUUCCCUUGACUUAUAUCAGGUGCCACGGGCAUGAGAGUGCUGGCUGAGUUCAGAGUGCAGCAGAGGAGAUUUUUGAUUCAAGAAAAAUUUCAAUCAAAUGCCAAAAAGUUUAAUGCAGAAGAUAUAAAGUAUCUUCCUUCUCUUUGCUUUAAUUUGCUGUAAAUAAGGAGGAAUUCUAUUUGGACUACUCUUCUGCUUUAACAACUGCAUCCUGUGAUCAAAUGUGAUCGACUUUGCUACUAAAGGCAAUGAUCCAGGACAACAUUGAAGGACUUAUGAGGAAGAAUGCUAUCCACGUCUAGAUAAAGAACCGUGGGAGUAGAAAUCUAGAAGAAAAUAUGUGAUUUAUCACUUGUUUUUAUGGGCAUGUGAUUUCGAG
rnacentral:lncRNA from 1 species